GGGUGCGAUCAUACCAGCACUAAUGCACCGGAUCCCAUCAGAACUUUGCAGUUAAGCGCGCUUGGGCGAGAGUAGUACUAGGAUGGGUGACCUCCUGGGAAGUCCUCGUGUUGCACCCC
rnacentral:rRNA from 1 species